rnacentral:rRNA from 1 species
GAUGAACGCUGGCGGCGUGCCUAAUACAUGCAAGUCGAGCGAACAGACGAGGAGCUUGCUCCUUUGACGUUAGCGGCGGACGGGUGAGUAACACGUGGGUAACCUACCUAUAAGACUGGGAUAACUUCGGGAAACCGGAGCUAAUACCGGAUAAUAUUUCGAACCGCAUGGUUCGAUAGUGAAAGAUGGCUUUGCUAUCACUUAUAGAUGGACCUGCGCCGUAUUAGCUAGUUGGUAAGGUAACGGCUUACCAAGGCAACGAUACGUAGCCGACCUGAGAGGGUGAUCGGCCACACUGGAACUGAGACACGGUCCAGACUCCUACGGGAGGCAACAGUAGGGAAUCUUCCGCAAUGGGCGAAAGCCUGACGGAGCAACGCCGCGUGAGUGAUGAAGGUCUUCGGAUCGUAAAACUCUGUUAUUAGGGAAGAACAAACGUGUAAGUAACUGUGCACGUCUUGACGGUACCUAAUCAGAAAGCCACGGCUAACUACGUG